CAUAAGUAGACUAUAGACUGCAAGUCCAAAACACGUUACAUUUAUAAGGGAAUGCACAGAAAACACAGCCAUCUGUAAUGAAGCAUAUUCUAAGAAAGAGGAGGGUUACUUUGCAACUACAAUUAUAAAAGCACCACAUAAGCAAAAUAGUGAGAUUUAGAUCGUUGCUAAGUGAAAGGGACACCAAUGACAUAACGUUAGUAAGCACCACGGGACAAAGUGCAUUUUGACUAGUAAUACAGUGACUAUGCUACUAUGGCUCAAAACCAUGGCUAAAUUUAUAAUCAGAAGGCAUUUUUGGUGGUCCAGGACAGAUGUACUGUGUGCAUAGGCUGUGUCCUCUACGCACUGGAUAGGAAAGAGUUAAUUCCCACACACCGGGACUGGUGGAAGUGGUGGUAAUGGUGAAAUCAAAUGUUACGCACAGAGCUGGAGUUGGAGUGCAGUACAUGACACACUACAAGGAAGCAGAGGACAAGGAAUCACAGGUCUUGGUAUUUCAGUUUAGGUAACCAAAAAUGGGGUGUUCACCUUGGCUCUUCAUUACAUUAACCUUGUACCUCACUUCACUUGGAAGCCUUAUUCAACCUUCACACUCUGAAUUAGUCUGAAUAAGUCGACGCAUAGUCAGAAACAACAGUUCUACUCUGGACAACUUGAACAGUGAAGAAAUCUUCCAUUUAGUGAGCAGUGGUAACUUUGUGGAGGGCAGUGGCCCUAAUGCUGAAAGUAUAACGACAUAGAAGCUCACCAGUAUGAUGGCCAUUCCAAAGGAGCUUGAGCAUGCCAGCAGCAAAAAUCGUUCUGGAUCUAGAAUCACAGUUGCGACAACAGCUGCACUCACUCUACACCGCUUACGUGACCAAGGACCAGAGAAAGUUAAUACUUCAACUGCAGGCCACACUCACCCCAGUAUAGACAUCAUCUCAGAGGAAGCUCUCUUGGAAGGCAGCCACGUAACAACUGAGGAACAGUUGAAAGAGAGCCAUACAUCCACAGUAAAUGAUGACUUUCUGGAUGGUGGGAAGAGUCUUGAACUCCCUGUCCAAACAAAUGUGUUUACAUCUAUGAAGAACCACAACUUGUCAGGGUCUGGAAGUCCCUGUGUGCUUGGUCUUAGACCUUGUGUUGUUCUUGCAAACUUUAAUGGCACCAGUCUGCUCUGAGAUGACAUGAGGCGCACACUGGCAUUUGCCUGGGAGUUACAUGUCUUUGGAUCUGCCAGCCUUUUCAUACUGAUGGCAGUCCUGGUAGCUUUGGGAAUGACCGGUGCAUGCACUCUUCCUCAUCUCGUCUAUGAUGCCCUCCCUUUGGCAAAUAGUCUCCUGUUUAUGGGUGGUACUCUGCGUGGUGUCUUCUUUCUAAUAGAUCCUUAUGGUACUUGUCAGAUCCUUUCUCGUUCUACUCUGGCAGCUCUCCAUAACGUUCCCCUGCAGCUUCUUCUGUGGGCCCAGGGUGCCCUUGCUCUGCUCUCACUGAGAAGUUUGAAAUUAUUAUUUUUUUCCGCUAAAGCUGCAGCACUCAUGGGUGGUUGGAGGGCUGGCUAUAUCACACUGCACUCCAUUACUGGUAGCUGACCUAUACUCUUCAACUUUAUCCCCUGCUCUCCCUCUGUUGUUGCAGACCCUGUCCCUCUGCUGGGGUGUCCCAUUCUGCAUGGGAAUUCUCACAAAGUCUCUUUCUCACUUACAUCCCUUUCUCAGGUCCUCUGUACCUCAGUGGGUUCCUUCACAGAGCACUGAGAAGCCAGCAAAGAGGGUAACGGCGGUGUGUGCCACUCUAGGGGUUCUCUGCUGCAGCCUUCAUAUGUACAGUUUCCUCUGGCUUUAUGGGCUACUGGGGAACUGGAGGCGCUUUGGCUGGGGCUGGUGGAUCAGUCAGUUUUAGGCAAGAAUCCUUGAGUUAGCUUGGGGAUUCUCUUUGGUUGUCCUAGGAUCAUGGUUCUUCUGGAUGCCCUCCAGGGUUCAUUCAAGAGGUGAUUAUAGACAGGGCAGAAAUGAAGUGUCUACAUGGCUGGAUGAGAAGAGCUUGUGGGGUAGGGUUUAGGCCAACGUAUGGAAAGGGCCACUACGACAAUCAGAAAAAACCUGGGAAGACCUGAUGCCAAAUAACUGGCCAAAAUAUAACCUGUCUAGAGCCAGCAUCAGCAGCAAUGUAAUGUGUCCCUAUGAUGAUCAACCAUCUACCAUUAUCUCAGCAUACAAGCCUGAUCCUGUUAGCAACAGUAGCUCAGACUGUCAGACUGCAUUACUGUGGCAAAAAGUCAGUGAACACAAAUGUAUUCUUUCACUUAUAGAAUUUGACAUGAGGCCCCCAUCUCCAAUUCACCUCAGGCGCAGCAUUGACUGUGCCCUUCAUCAUGGACAGCUUGUAGCAGGAGCCCUGUUCACUCCUCCACCUCCCUCUUGGACUCAAACCGUGGGCACUGAUGGAAAUGAUAGUACAACAUUCCCUCCAGCGGAUGAGUGGAUGUUGAAUACAGAGUCUAUUUCCACAUCUCUCGACCAUUUUCAAGCUAAAGAGCCCAUACAGUCACCCAGUGCUACCACUGAUUUUAAUGGUAGCACUAGGUCUCCAACCACUGCACAUCAGGAAGCAGAGUUUAAUUCAGCACUCUCAGCAGUGGUGAAUCAGCAUGACUGGUCUGAUAAUGAAGUAACAGACCUCUAAGCUGUCUCCUAUGUCAGGAGUGCCAAUACUAACUUCCUAAUAUAAAUCAUCUAGCCUUGGUGAAAUGGCACUAUUAUAUAAUGUGGACACUACUGCUCUUGCAAGACAUUAUCUCAUCUAGGCAAAGAUUUACUUAGUCUUAAUCCUGUCUGUAUACUAGUGGCUUAAAAUGAUCAGACUUCAAAUAUUCAGCACAAAAGAGCAGUCAGAAUCAAAUAUCCUCCUCAGUUUUACUUAGUUGUGUAUGUUUUGCAAAAAGAUACAAUAAAGAUAAAAGUGGGGGAUGGCAGAAAA